rfam:Picea glauca, whole genome shotgun sequence.
GUACAUGUUUAUAGCAUAGCAUUAAUGCAUAGGAUCCCAUUCAAAUUCCAUAGUUAAGUGCGCUUGUGCUAGAGUAGUAUUGGGAUGGGUGACUGCCAGAGAAUUCCUAGUAUUUUAUAUG